rnacentral:rRNA from 1 species
GAUGAACGCUGGCGGCGUGCCUAAUACAUGCAAGUCGAACGCGAAAGGUCUGAAGCCUUCGGGCGGAGGGCCGAGUAGAGUGGCGAACGGGUGAGGAACACGUAGGUGACCUGCCCCGGAGAGGGGGAUAACCGUCGGAAACGGCGGCUAAUACCCCAUAAGCUCACGCGAGUUAGAGGGCGUGUGAGAAAAGCUCCGGCGCUCCGGGAGGGGCCUGCGGCCCAUCAGCUAGUUGGUAGGGUAAAGGCCUACCAAGGCGAAGACGGGUAGGGGGCCUGAGAGGGUGGUCCCCCACAUGGGAACUGAGACACGGUCCCAACUCCUACGGGAGGCAGCAGUAAGGAAUAUUGCACAAUGGGCCAAGCCUGAUGCAGCAACGCCGCGUGCCCGAGGACGGCCUUCGGGUUGUAAAGGGCUUUUCUGGCUGACGAGGAAGGACGGUAGGCCAGGAAUAAGCGUCGGCUAACUACGUGCCAGCAGCCGCGGUAAGGCUACGUAGA